rnacentral:rRNA from 1 species
AGGAUGAACGCUGGCGGCGUGCUUAACACAUGCAAGUCGAACGAUGAAGGCUGGAGCUUGCUCUGGCUGGAUUAGUGGCGAACGGGUGAGUAACACGCGAGUAACCUGCCCCAGACUCUGGGAUAAGCGCUGGAAACGGCGUCUAAUACCGGAUACGAGCUUCCACCGCAUGGUGAGGAGCUGGAAAGAAUUUCGGUCUGGGAUGGACUCGCGGCCUAUCAGCUUGUUGGUGAGGUAAUGGCUCACCAAGGCGACGACGGGUAGCCGGCCUGAGAGGGU